UUUAAAGUUGCUAAAUAUAAACAAAGGUUAAGAAGUUUUAUUAAAAUUACCUUUUGUAUCAGGGGAGUUCAAAAUUUUAGAGAGAAUUUGUUCGAGUAGACCGGAUUUUUAUUAUUAAACACUAAUUGAAUUAAGUGCUUAAAAUUUUUAUGGGGUGAAAUGUGUUCGGCGGUUUAGUUAUCUAGUUACUUUAAAAUAUUAGUGGUUAAGCACUUAUUAAGUUAUGAUAUAAUAAAGCUAUUAUAAAACUAGGCUUUAGAUUAGCUAAAGUUUGCAAAUUGUUUUAAGUGAUUUUAAGUUAUAAAAAUAAAUAAAGUUAGUGAGUAAUGUCUGAUUUUUUUAGCUUACAGGUAUAAUGAAUUUAUUGAAUAUUGAAAGGAGCUUCUAAAUAACUCAGGUUUAAUUUGAUAGUUUAGCAAAAACAUUUCUAUUUAAGAAAAAAAAGUAAAGCCUGCCCAGUGAUUGUUUAACGGCUGCGGUAUUUUGACUGUGCUAAGGUAGCAUAAUCAAUUGUUUUUUAAUUGAGAACUAGUAUGAAGGGUUAAACAAAUUAGUCAGGUUUGAUUAGCUAAAUAAAAAAUUAAAGUUAAGGUAAGAAUUCUUUAAUAAUUUAGGGGACGAUAAGACCCUAGAAGCUUUAAAAAAUAAAAAAUAUUAUAAAAAAGUUGGUUUUUACUGGGGCGGUAGUAGUAUUUAAUCUAUUGUUAUUUUGGUUGAUCCUUAAUAUAAAGAUACCACGGUUGAGUUACUCUAGGGAUAACAGUGUAAUAUUUUUGGAUAGGCCAUAUUGAUAAAAGUGUUUGCAACCUCGAUGUUGAAUUAAGAUGUCUAUAUAAAGAAGCGGGUAUAAAAGAAGGUUUGUUCAACCUUUAUAAUCUUACAUGAUUUGAGUUCAAAUCGGUUUAAGCCAGAUUGGAUUUUAUCUCUAAGUAAUUAAUAGAUCUUUUUAGUACGAAAGGGGCGACUGGUCUUUAG
rnacentral:rRNA from 1 species